GGCUUUGUGAAUUUACAAAAGCAUGUUCCCCGGCCCGCUUUAGUAAACCACCCUUCUCUCCCAGGGGUGAUGGGAAUGUCUUCCCACCAGCUCCACACACCUUGCUCUCUGAUGUCCACUAGCUUUAGAUCCUUCGUGUUUGGGCAUUUUAAGGCCAGUGGACCCUCUUAACUGAGGACUUUUCCUCCUUCCUAGCAUCCAAACAUUAGUUCUUCUUGCUUUCCCCUAGAGCCCUCUUCAUUUUUACCAAGCCUUCCUACCACCAACCAAAACAAACAAAUAAAACAAACAAAAAGGACAGGAACAAGAGGAAUGUUCUUAAAGAAUAUUUGUCUUUUGCUUUGUUGUGAUAUCUCUGUGUGGUCCAGACAAAUAGAGUGGCUUUGUCACAGCUUCACUCUCAGGCCUGUGAAGUGAGGUGGUACCUCUGCUGUGCGCCAGGCCUUCACACGCGGCCUGAGUCCCCCAGAGUCCGAGUCUCCCCUGGUCGCGGGGAAAGAGGCUCCCGAGCCCACAGCGAUCUGGGCUCUGUAUGCUAUGCCUCAGAUCUCCAAGCCCCUCCGGGAAGCAGCGGGGCACCCAUGGCUGUUGGGGAAUUAGGAAUGGUUUGUCCGUAAGAGUGACCAGAAACAUGGAAUUUGCCAGAGGCUAGCGCUAUCCUUGGAUUUCCAGAUUUCCAGAUUUCUCCUGCCAUAGUCGUGUUACUUCCUCUCGCCUCUAGGGUGAGUUGAAGCUAGAUUACUAAGUACACGGCCAAAGUCAAACACGCGAUGGGGUGAGCGCGACGAAGACUGUGACGACAGCAUUUUAGGCCAAAGGCUAAGUCACCGUCUCGACACCUGUCCUCCUCCACCCAGGCUGUGCUCUGUGCGGAGUGGAGAGACGUGUAUCCCCGGCAGCGCCCUCCUCCCCUAAUUCCACCGUCGAUUAGACACUCAGCCAGCCCAGGGUCCUGAGCAGGCACUGCCCGUGAGUCCUAGGACGGGAGAGAGGCAGUAGCACCCAUGCCCGGGAGGCACGCAAACCGGGGUUCACUGCCUGUGGUGGCUUCGGCUGCAGGAUGGCGUGUCUUUCUGAGAAAGGUCUCUCCUAGUACGGCACCUUUCCCCGUGGUCCUCUGCUGAGCUUGUAGCUUCGAGAAAGCUGCCCGCGGAAUGUGAGAGAGAGAGAAGGCACACCAACCUAAGCUGCUGUUUUUGCUGGUUCAAUCUAGGUAAUCACUAGAGACGUACUGUGGUCAGAUUGACCUUACAUUCAAAACAGUUCUAAACAAAACGAAAUAACUCGCAAAGGGAACUGGAAGUUGGAGCGCUGAGCGAGCAGGGCGGUUGGGUUGCGACCCCCCUGCUGCCCCUGCCUCGCGGGCACCACGUCAGCCCCUCCCAGGCACCUGUCUGCUCUUCAGGUCAACACUUCUUCCCAACGACCUGGCCAGGCGUAUCAGAACAGGUGCGCCCCGUUACAGCUCUGUUCCUGCUUCUUCACAUGAGGACCUUCUCUGAUACUCCACUGGGGAGGUAGUGGGCCUUCCCGGCUAGUGUCACCUUCCCGGUAGUGUCAGCCAACCCACACCCCCCAAAACAAGACCCUGCUCAAGUAUUGGGAAGAGAAAGAUGAGACCCAGCGCAAAAGUAGAGCCUGAGCUGAGAUGCUAGUGCUGGAAGAGAGGAACACAGGAGCCUUCAAACGCACCUGUCUCUUUUAGGACAUACUUUCCCUCAGGCCUGGGGCUCAGCGACGAGAGACAGGAAAGUCCUGGCUAGUCUUCCAGCCCCACGAGCUGCCCAGCCUACCCCUGGCGAACACACAAUUGCCCUAGGAAAGGAGAGAAGAGUCUUCCCCAGCCCUCACCGUUCCUCAUUCCAAACAACUUGUAAAGUCCCACGGGCACUGGAAGAGUUUGCCCUCAGCCAAACACAACUUCCUGUUUCUAAGAAAGGGAAGAAAAAAAUAGUUGAAAGGGUUUUUGGACACUGGAGAUGUCGAGUUUCUGUAAACGCAAAUGAAUCAGACACAUGUGGAAUAAAUUUCUCCGGAAG
ensembl:lncRNA